rnacentral:rRNA from 1 species
AUGCAAGUCGAACGGCAGCACGGGUGCUUGCACCUGGUGGCGAGUGCGGACGGGUGAGUAUACAUCGGAACGUAUCCUAAAGUGGGGGAUAACGCAUCGAAAGAUGUGCUAAUACCGCAUAUACUCUGAGGAGGAAAGUAGGGGAUCGAAAGACCUUAUGCUUUUGGAGCGGCCGAUGUCUGAUUAGCUAGUUGGUAAGGUAAUGGCUUACCAAGGCAACGAUCAGUAGUUGGUCUGAGAGGACGACCAGCCACACUGGGACUGAGACACGGCCCAGACUCCUACGGGAGGCAGCAGUGGGGAAUUUUGGACAAUGGGCGCAAGCCUGAUCCUAGCAAUGCCGCGUGAGUGAAGAAGGCCUUCGGGUUGUAAAGCUCUUUCAGUUGAGAAGAAAAGAUUGUAACUAAUAAUUACAAUCCGUGACGG